AGGUUAAGUUAACAAGGGCGCAUGGUGAAUGCCUUGGCACUAGGAGCCGAUGAAGGACGGGACUAACACCGAUAUGCUUCGGGGAGCUGUACGUAAGCUAUGAUCCGGAGAUUUCCGAAUGGGGCAACCCAGCAGUUUUAAUCAACUGUUACCACUAGAUGAAUUCAUAGUCUAGUUGGAGGUAAACGCUGUGAACUGAAACAUCUCAUUAGCAGCAGGAAUAUAAAGAAAUUUCGAUUCCCUAAGUAGCGGCGAGCGAACGGGGAACAGCCCAAACCAAAGUGCUUGCACUUUGGGGUUGUAGGACUGAACAUUUGAGUUACCAAAGAACUUGAUAGUCGAAGGAUUUGGGAAAAUCCGCCAUAGAUGGUGAUAGCCAGUAGAUUAAAUCAAAUUCUCUCAGUUCAGGAUCCUGAGUACGGCGGAACACGUGAAAUUCCGUCGGAAUCCGGGAGGACCAUCUCCCAAGGCUAAAUACUACCUAGUGACCGAUAGUGAACCAGUACCGUGAGGGAAAGGUGAAAAGCACCCCGGGAGGGGAGUGAAAUAGUUCCUGAAACCAUGUGCCUACAAUAAGUCAGAGCGCGUUAAUGCGUGAUGGCGUGCCUUUUGUAGAAUGAACCGGCGAGUUAUGAUCCCGUGCAAGGUUAAGACUAAAAAGUCGGAGCCGUAGCGAAAGCGAGUCUGAAAUGGGCGUUUUGAGUACGAGGUUAUAGACCCGAAACCAGGUGACCUAUCCAUGUCCAGGUUGAAGGUGCGGUAAAACGCACUGGAGGACCGAACCCGUGUAAGUUGAAAAUUGCUGGGAUGAGGUGUGGAUAGCGGUGAAAUUCCAAACGAACUUGGAGAUAGCUGGUUCUCUCCGAAAUAGCUUUAGGGCUAGCCUCGGAAUUAGGAUCAUGGAGGUAGAGCACUAUUUGGACUAGGGGCCCGUCUUGGGUUACUGAAUUCAGAUAAACUCCGAAUGCCAUUGAUUCAUAUCCGGGAGUCAGACGAUGAGUGAUAAGAUCCACCGUCGAAAGGGGAACAGCCCAGACCAUCAGUUAAGGUCCCUAAAUGUAUGCUAAGUGGAAAAGGAUGUGGAGUUGCAUAGACAACUAGGAUGUUGGCUCAGAAGCAGCCACCAUUUAAAGAGUGCGUAAUAGCUCACUAGUCGAGUGAUCCUGCGCCGAAAAUGUACCGGGGCUAAGCAUACUACCGAAACCAUGGAUGCGACCAUUAGGUCGCGUGAUAGGAGAGCGUUCUAAGGGCGGUGAAGCAAGAUCGUGAGGACUUGUGGAGCGCUUAGAAGUGAGAAUGCCGGUAUGAGUAGCGAAAGAUAGGUGAGAAUCCUAUCCACCGAAUGACUAAGGUUUCCUGGGGAAGGCUCGUCCUCCCAGGGUUAGUCGGGACCUAAGUCGAGGCCGAGAGGCGUAGACGAUGGAUAACAGGUUGAGAUUCCUGUACUAGUUAAGUGCGUUUGAGCAAUGGAGGGACGCAGGAGGCUAAGAUGUGCAUUCUGUUGGAUUAGAAUGUCCAAGCAGUAAGUCUUGUGAAGAGUCAAAUGCUUUUCACUUUAAGGACAAGCUGUGAUGGGGAGCGAAAUUUAGUAGCGAAGCGUCUGAUGUCACACUGCCGAGAAAAGCUUCUAGUGAGUACUUAACUACCCGUACCGCAAACCGACACAGGUAGUCGAGGAGAGAAUCCUAAGGUGAGCGAGUGAACUCUCGUUAAGGAACUCGGCAAAAUGACCCCGUAACUUCGGGAGAAGGGGUGCUGAUCGCAAGAUCAGCCGCAGUGAAUAGGCCCAGGCGACUGUUUAUCAAAAACACAGGUCUCUGCAAAAUCGUAAGAUGACGUAUAGGGGCUGACGCCUGCCCGGUGCUGGAAGGUUAAAAGGAUGGGUUAGCUUCGGCGAAGCUCAGAAUUGAAGCCCCAGUAAACGGCGGCCGUAACUAUAACGGUCCUAAGGUAGCGAAAUUCCUUGUCGGGUAAGUUCCGACCCGCACGAAAGGCGUAACGAUCUGGGCACUGUCUCAACGAGAGACUCGGUGAAAUUAUAUUGUCCGUGAAGAUGCGGACUACCCGCGACAGGACGGAAAGACCCCAUGGAGCUUUACUGUAGCUUGAUAUUGAGUGUUUGUACAGCUUGUACAGGAUAGGUAGGAGCCAUAGAAACCGGAACGCUAGUUUCGGUGGAGGCGUUGGUGGGAUACUACCCUCGCUGUAUGACCACUCUAACCCGCACCACUAAUCGUGGUGGGAGACAGUGUCAGGUGGGCAGUUUGACUGGGGCGGUCGCCUCCUAAAAAGUAACGGAGGCGCCCAAAGGUUCCCUCAGAAUGGUUGGAAAUCAUUCGCAGAGUGUAAAGGCACAAGGGAGCUUGACUGCGAGACAGACAGGUCGAGCAGGGACGAAAGUCGGGCUUAGUGAUCCGGUGGUACCGUAUGGAAGGGCCAUCGCUCAACGGAUAAAAGCUACCCUGGGGAUAACAGGCUUAUCUCCCCCAAGAGUCCACAUCGACGGGGAGGUUUGGCACCUCGAUGUCGGCUCAUCGCAUCCUGGGGCUGUAGUCGGUCCCAAGGGUUGGGCUGUUCGCCCAUUAAAGCGGUACGCGAGCUGGGUUCAGAACGUCGUGAGACAGUUCGGUCCCUAUCCGUCGCGGGCGUAGGAAAUUUGAGAGGACCUGUCCUUAGUACGAGAGGACCGGGAUGGACAUACCUCUGGUGUACCAGUUGUGCCGCCAGGCGCAUCGCUGGGUAGCUACGUAUGGAUGUGAUAAACGCUGAAAGCAUCUAAGUGUGAAACACACCUCGAGAUGAGAUUUCCCAUUCCUUUAUGGAAGUAAGACCCCUGAAAGAUGAUCAGGUAGAUAGGUUAGAAGUGGCAGUGCGGUGACGCAUGAAGCGGACUAAUACUAAUCGGUCGAGGACUUAACCAAG
rnacentral:rRNA from 2 species